rnacentral:rRNA from 2 species
AAAUUGAAGAGUUUGAUCAUGGCUCAGAUUGAACGCUGGCGGCAGGCCUAACACAUGCAAGUCGAACGGUAACAGGAAGAAGCUUGCUUCUUUGCUGACGAGUGGCGGACGGGUGAGUAAUGUCUGGGAAACUGCCUGAUGGAGGGGGAUAACUACUGGAAACGGUAGCUAAUACCGCAUAACGUCGCAAGACCAAAGAGGGGGACCUUCGGGCCUCUUGCCAUCGGAUGUGCCCAGAUGGGAUUAGCUAGUAGGUGGGGUAACGGCUCACCUAGGCGACGAUCCCUAGCUGGUCUGAGAGGAUGACCAGCCACACUGGAACUGAGACACGGUCCAGACUCCUACGGGAGGCAGCAGUGGGGAAUAUUGCACAAUGGGCGCAAGCCUGAUGCAGCCAUGCCGCGUGUAUGAAGAAGGCCUUCGGGUUGUAAAGUACUUUCAGCGGGGAGGAAGGGAGUAAAGUUAAUAUCUUU